CCUUGUGUGCAAUGUCAGUCGAUCUUCUUCAUGGAGAUCGACCAAACAUCAACCUUUAUUUUUUAACUCUUUGUCUGAAAAAUAUUAUGAAUAAACAAUUCAAAAUACAACUUUCAACAACGGAUCUCUUGGCUCUCGCAUCGAUGAAGAACGCAGCGAAAUGCGAUACGUAAUGUGAAUUGCAGAAUUCAGUGAAUCAUCGAAUCUUUGAACGCAUAUUGCGCUCUUUGGUAUUCCGAAGAGCAUGCUUGUUUGAGUAUCAGUAAACACCUCAAAGCUUUUGGAUUUUUUAAUCGAAAAGCUUUGGACUUGAGCAAUCCCAACACCAAUCUUUUUGAGAUCGGUGGCGGGUUGCUUGAAAUGCAGGUGCAGCUGGACAUUCUCCUGAGCUAAAAGCAUAUUCAUUUAGUCCCGUCAAACGGAUUAUUACUUUUGCUGCAGCUAACAUAAAGGGAGUUUGACCGUAUUGGCUGACUGAUGCAGGAUUUCACAAGGGUCGGCAACGAUUCUUGUUAAACUCGAUCUCAAAUCAAGUAAGACUACCCGCUGAACUUAAGCAUAUCAAUAAGCGGAG
rnacentral:rRNA from 1 species